rnacentral:ncRNA from 1 species
CGCAUCACGGAUGGGCAAGGUUUCCCCGGCCUAAGGCCAUCGGGGAAUGAAAUGGGAAUGCGGUGAGGGGGAUCCAACCAGGACCCCGAUGCCGCAGCCGCCCCCGCGACUGUAAGCGGUGAGCGCGGUGCCACGAAGCCACUGGGGCAUGCCCCGGGAAGGCGGCACCAAGCUUCGACCCGCAAGCCAGGAGACCAGCCCUGCGCGACGUGAACCC